AUUUCUAGAUGUGCAAGAAACUGGUGUAAACAAUAUUAUUUUCAUUUUCCAGGUACUCCACCGAUUAUGGCAUGUUCCACUUCUGCAUAGCUGACACUGAACAUGACUGGAGGGAAGGAACCGAGCAGUACAAGUUUAUUGAGCAUUGCUUGGCAUCAGUCGAUAGGCAAAAGCAACCAUGGCUAAUUUUUCUUGCACAUCGAGUACUUGGUUAUUCAUCUAGUAUCAGUUAUGCAGUUGAAGGAUCAUUCGAGGAAAAAAUGGGGAGGGAGAGCCUGCAAAACUAUCAAAAUUGGUGAUUUUCUUGGAACUGAAGAAGAAGUACUUGUGGUGAGGACUUUUGCCUCAGAAUACAGCAGUCUUAGAAAGGAUGGUUAUAUCUUGGUCUAAAGAAUCUCAGUGCAAGGUCAAAAGAAAAAGGCAGUUAAUGAUCAUCUACUAACACUUCCGAAAGGGUCACUGAAUGAUCACUGGGUAUCAGUGACUUCUGGAAGUGAGGGGUAUUGUCUUAAACAUAUGCGUAGAAAUCAGUAUGAAGAAAGUCUAUUCAGAUGUGAAGAUGAUAGGUAAAAGACUUGAUAGAAGCCUUCAUUAGUUGGAAUUUGACACCAGAAGAGCUGCAAAAAACUGUUGCAAAGGCGGUAGGUGGUGUCAGCAAACUGGAGAAGGUUUUAGGCAUUUCGCAUGCUGGGACUCUGUUUUAUACCCUGUCCACUUGGGGACUUGCUCUAGCAGGGUUAUAUAGGACUCGUGAUGUGUUCAAACUUGCUGCACUGGGCAUUCACACAACCAGCAAAGUGGUUAUGAGGGCUCUCUAAAUAUGGCUAUUCCAUAGCUGUGAACCAUAUGAUUGCAAUUGGACAUAUUAAUGCUGGCCUCUUUGCGUGUGUACAGAAAAAUCAACUUUAUGAUUCAACACUUCCUGUCAACUGUGGUUAUUUUGUUUGUACAUAAUUGUGAAUAGCAUUUGCCUUUGAAA